rnacentral:rRNA from 1 species
GAAUAUUGGACAAUGGGCGAAAGCCUGAUCCAGCAAUGCCGCGUGAGUGAUGAAGGCCUUAGGGUUGUAAAGCUCUUUUACCCGGGAUGAUAAUGACAGUACCGGGAGAAUAAGCCCCGGCUAACUCCGUGCCAGCAGCCGCGGUAAUACGGAGGGGGCUAGCGUUGUUCGGAAUUACUGGGCGUAAAGCGCACGUAGGCGGCUUUGUAAGUUAGAGGUGAAAGCCCGGAGCUCAACUCCGGAACUGCCUUUAAGACUGCAUCGCUUGAACGUCGGAGAGGUAAGUGGAAUUCCGAGUGUAGAGGUGAAAUUCGUAGAUAUUCGGUGGAACACCAGUGGCGAAGGCGGCUAACUGGACUGAUACUGACGCUGAGGUGCGAAAGUGUGGGGAGCAAACAGG